rnacentral:rRNA from 1 species
CCUACGGGAGGCAGCAGUGGGGAAUCUUGCGCAAUGGGCGAAAGCCUGACGCAGCAACGCCGCGUGCGGGAAGAAGGCUUUCGGGCUGUAAACCGCUUUCAGCAGGAACGAAAAUGACGGUACCUGCAGAAGAAGGAGCGGCCAACUAUGUGCCAGCAGCCGCGGUGAUACAUAGGCUUCAAGCGUUGUCCGGAUUUAUUGGGCGUAAAGAGUUCGUAGGCGGUCGAGUAAGUCGGGUGUGAAAAUUCUGGGCUCAACCCAGAGACGCCACCCGAUACUGCUUGACUUGAGUUCGAUAGGGGAGUGGGGAAUUCCUAGUGUAGCGGUGAAAUGCGCAGAUAUUAGGAGGAACACCGGUGGCGAAGGCGCCACUCUGGAUCGAUACUGACGCUGAGGAACGAAAGCAUGGGUAGCAAACAGGAUUAGAUACCCUGGUAGUCCAUGCCGUAAACGGUGGGCACUAGGUGUGGGUUUCUAUUAACGAAAUCCGCGCCGUCGCUAACGCAUUAAGUGCCCCGCCUGGGGGAGGUACGGUCGCAGACUAAACUACAAGAAGUAGACGCGNGAGACGUGCGAGACGACACGAGGAGAGG